UGUAGUGAGGGAGUGAUGCGGGGCUGGGAACUUCCAGGAGAGGGACGUGCAAUUACUGGUUGAUGCGGUCCACCUGUGUGGGGAGGAGACUCACCUGGGUUGGAGCUGAAAAGAAAAGAGGCAGUGGGGAAGAAAAAAGACAGACAGCAAGACGUGGGGAGCAGUCGGCCUGAGCGGUUUUUGAGCAGUGGCACUGUGGCGGCUGGGUGCUUGUUGUGUAUUGAUGUGCUGAAGAAAGAAGUGAUCACCACUGACAAGUCUUAUCUUCGCUCCAACAGUCACCUUAUAUAUGACGCUCAUCCCCAAAAACCCCCAUUCAUAAACAAAGAAAUUAUAUCCUUACAUCUAGUUAGUUUUACGAGCUGGCAUUUGGGAAAUGAUCUUUUGACCUUUAAACUUUGUACACACUUCGCAAACCCCCAAAACAGGAAAAGGGACAGAAGAGAAAAACAAGAAGACCAUAUACUACAUGCUGUUCGCAGCUUACAGUGCUGCCGGCAGUAAAGACAGCUGAGUAAGGGAGUUUGUCGUGUUGAUCAGUCCUGUAUUAAGAGAGGAGGUCAGAAACAUCCUUUAGGUAGCUCCAAGUCUGCCAGCUGAGCAGCCCAACUCCCCACAUCGGCCAGACCCCACGAGUGGGUCUCGUCCCCAGGCCAGGGCAGGAUAAGUCAUUGGUUUUAAUUAUAUUCAUAUAAACUACCUGUGUGUUGUCCUGUUAGUUAAUGUCCGUGUCAAUAUUAUUUCGUUUUAAGAAAGGAUUUUAAUGUAUUGACGUAACUGUGCUAGCGGUCUCCUUUUAGAGCAAUUUACUGUCCGUGCAGCGCUCUACAAACCCCACUUUUGUCACUAGGGGGAGCCCUAGUGACAAAAGUGGAGUUUGACCCGCAUAUGUUUGCAGUGGUCCCUAUGGAGCCAGUGUGAUUUGUAGCUCCCCUUGUGUGUAGUGCUCCAGUUCAGUUGCUGUGCAGUGGUUCCUGUGUGCAGUGUGUCUUUGUGUGGUGUGUGUUCUGCUUGUUUGCAGUGUUGGUGUUGCAGGAUGGUGGAGUACCUGCCUGGCCUGCUGGAGCUGCCCUUGUUGCCCUGUGGGCUGCAGGCGUCCCUUAAUUAAAUUCAUUAAAAUGAAGAUUCAUCUACUUCCAUACUUACCUGUCUGCGAGAGGAGCUCAGCGUCUGUCACUGAGUGUCCAUCCAGAGUCCAGCUGUACUGAGGACUGUCCCCUCCAUCAGAGGAGCAGGACACCCUCUUCUCUCCAUGGGACAGACACUCAGAGACCAGAUGGACAGAGGACACCGGAGCUAAGAGAAACACAUACAGAUGACUUUUGAUAACAAGAGAGGAGCUCAGCGUCUGUCACUGAGUGUCCAUCCAGAGUCCAGCUGUACUGAG